rnacentral:rRNA from 1 species
ACUAUACAUGCAAGUCGAGCGAGCCGAACUAAUUGAUUACCUUCGGGUAUGGAGUUAGGGAAGCGAGCGGCGGAUGGGUGAGUAACACGUGGGUAACCUACACUAUAGUCUGGGAUACCACUUGGAAACAGGUGCUAAUACCGGAUAAAAGGAGAGAUCACAUGAUUUCUUUUUGAAAGGCGGCGUAAGCUGUCGCUAAAGGAUGGACCCGCGGUGCAUUAGCUAGUUGGUAAGGUAACGGCUUACCAAGGCAACGAUGCAUAGCCGAGUUGAGAGACUGAUCGGCCACAUUGGGACUGAGACACGGCCCAGACUCCUACGGGAGGCAGCAGUAGGGAAUCUUCCACAAUGGACGCAAGUCUGAUGGAGCAACGCCGCGUGAGUGAAGAAGGUUUUCGGAUCGUAAAGCUCUGUUGUUGGUGAAGAAAGAUAGUGAGAGUAACUGCUCAUUAUUUGCCGGUAAUCAACCAGAAAGUCACGGCUAACUACGUGCCAGCAGCCGCGGUAAUACGUAGGUGGCAAGCGUUGUCCGGAUUUAUUGGGCGUAAAGCGAGCGCAGGCGGAAAGAUAAGUCAGAUGUGAAAGCCCUCGGCUUAACCGAGGAAUAGCAUCGGAAACUGUCUUUCUUGAGUGCAGAAGAGGAGAGUGGAACUCCAUGUGUAGCGGUGGAAUGCGUAGAUAUAUGGAAGAACACCAGUGGCGAAGGCGGCUCUCUGGUCUGUAACUGACGCUGAGGCUCG